rnacentral:rRNA from 1 species
AUUGAACGCUGGCGGAAUGCUUUACACAUGCAAGUCGAACGGCAGCACGGACUUCGGUCUGGUGGCGAGUGGCGAACGGGUGAGUAAUGCAUCGGAACGUGCCCAGUCGUGGGGGAUAACGUAGUGAAAAUUACGCUAAUACCGCAUACGAUCUAUGGAUGAAAGCGGGGGAUCGCAAGACCUCCCGCGAAUGGAGCGGUCGAUAUCAGAUUAGGUAGUUGGUGGGGUAAAGGCCGACCAAGCCAACGAUCUGUAGCUGGUCUGAGAGGACGACCAGCCACACUGGAACUGAGACAAGGUCCAGAAUCCUACGGGAGGCAGCAGUGGGGAAUUUUGGACAAUGGGCGAAAGCCUGAACCAGCCAUUGCGCGUGCAGGAUGAAGGCCCUCGGGUUGUAAACUGCUUUUGUACAGAACGAAAAGGUUUCUACUAAUACUAGGAGCUCAUGACGGUACUGUAAGAAUAAGCACCGGCUAACUACGUGCCAGCAGCCGCAGUAA